AGAGAAUCAUGGUGUUUACAGCACUUAUUAUAGCUGAGAUUGAAGGGUGUGCUUAUCCUCUUGGUCCUACCCCUCAUAUGGUCAUGACAAAUUUUCAAUUUGAAAGGAAUUGUCUUUGGCACAAAAUUCUGAACUGGAUUUAAGGACCAAGCUGCACAAGAACAGGAUGGGAACACGCUGUUAUACAGAUCCUUGUAUCCUGGAAACCGUCAUGCUCUAUUUCCUUGAAUACUCUGCACUUUUGCCAUCAGACUUCUGCAACCCAAAUUUAAAGAACAAGAGAACCUGAGUAUACAAUCAACAACCUCACAUAUGAAACCAGAGAUGUGAACAGCUUUUCGCUUCAUCAGACUUGUGCCAAUGCAACAGGGACAGUUAGUUAAUUUCUUUGUCAAUCAACUCUUUUAGAAGUAACUGGAUAAGAACCUGGCUAGAAAUGGAAUUGAAAUCUUUGUGAGUAGCAACAGUUACCAGUGACUGAAUGCUCUA